GUUGCUUCACGACUGGAAGAAUGGCCUGAUUAACUACUGUCCCGCCAUUCUGUAGAGGGAAGCAUAGAUUGAACAAGUUGCCAGAAUUAAACAGCAUGAUGCUCGUUUCCCUGCAUCAUUGUUACCUGUCUCCUGGCACAGUA
rnacentral:snoRNA from 1 species